CCCGCUGAACUUAAGCAUAUCAAUAAGCGGAGGAAAAGAAACUAACAAGGAUUCCCUUAGUAACUGCGAGUGAAGAGGGAAGAGCUCAAAUUUGAAAUCUGGCGGUCCUUCGGCUGUCCGAGUUGUAGUUUAGAGAAGUGCUAUCCGCGCUGGCCUGUGCAUAAGUUUCUUGGAAAAGAACAUCAUGGAGGGUGACAAUCCCGUCUUUGGCACGGAUCCCAGGGCUUUUGUGGUGCGCUCUCGACGAGUCGAGUUGUUUGGGAAUGCAGCUCUAAAUGGGUGGUAAAUUCCAUCUAAAGCUAAAUAUUGGCGAGAGACCGAUAGCGAACAAGUACCGUGAGGGAAAGAUGAAAAGAACUUUGAAAAGAGAGUUAAACAGUACGUGAAAUUGUUGAAGGGGAAACGCUUGAAGUCAGUCGUGUCCUCUAGGGAUCAAGUCAGCUCUGGCUGGCCGUACUUUCUAGUUGGAUGGGUCAGCAUCAAUUUUGAUCGCUGGAUAAAGGCCUUGGGAAUGUGGCAUCUUCGGAUGUGUUAUAGACCAAGGUUCUGAUACAGCGGUUGGGAUUGAGGAACUCAGCGCGCCUUCGUGGUUGCGUUCAGGAUGCUGGCAUAAUGGCUUUAAUCGACCCGUCUUGAAACACGG
rnacentral:rRNA from 1 species